GGACAGGUUGAGUUUAAGGAAGUGAGCAGCCAUCCAGUUGGAAAUAGCAGAGAGGCAGUCAGAAACACGAGUCAAGGUGGGCGGAGAGAGAUCAGGGGAGGACAGGUAGAUUUGCGUGUCAUCUGCAUAUAAAUGGUAUUGGAUGCCAAAAGAGCUGAUGAGUUUACCAAGGGAGGCAGUAUAGAUAGAGAACAGUAGGGGGCCGAGGACAGAACCUUGGGGGACGCUGACAGGGAGGGGUUGGGGAGAAGAGGCAGAGCCAGAGAAAGAAACACUGAAGGAGCGCUGGGAGAGGUAGGAGGAGCACCAGGAGAGAGCAGUAUCCCGUAGACCAAAGUUACGGAGAAUGUGAAGAAGCUGUUGAUGAUC
rnacentral:lncRNA from 1 species